UACGGAGGGGGCUAGCGUUGUUCGGAAUUACUGGGCGUAAAGCGUGCGCAGGCGGUUUGCUAAGAGAGAUGUGAAAUCCCCGGGCUUAACCUGGGAACUGCGUUUCUAACUGGCAGGCUUGAGUGUGGCAGAGGGGGUGGAAUUCCGACGUGUAGCAGUGAAAUGCGUAGAGAUGUGGAGGAACACCGAUGGCGAAGGCAGCCCCCUGGGCUAACACUGACGCUCAUGCACGAAAGCGUGGGGAGCAAACAGG
rnacentral:rRNA from 1 species